CAAUAGCGUAUAUUAAAGUUGUUGCAGUUAAAAAGCUCGUAGUUGAAUUUCUGGCGGGCGCGCCGGUCUUCCAAGUGUUGUACUGGGCGCAGUCCGCCAUCCUUGUGGAGAGGGCUCGCAUUGAGUUGCGUGUCGGAUCUGCAUCAUUUACUGUGAAAAAAUUAGAGUGUUUAAAGCAGGCUGUCGCUUGAAUACAUUAGCAUGGAAUAAUAAGAUAGGACUUCGGUCUAUUUUGUUGGUUGCGAACCGAGGUGAUGAUUAAUAGGGAUAGUUGGGGGUAUUCAUAUUUAAUUGUCAGAGGUGAAAUUCUUGGAUUUAUGAAAGAUGAACAACUGCGAAAGCAUUUACCAAGGAUGUUUUCAUUAA
rnacentral:rRNA from 1 species